CGAAACAGAAGGAAACAAGGCAAAGAAAGAAAGGGACUCGGAUAUUGUCCAUUGCUCGAUUCAUAAUGUGAAGACGAAUGACAGUGGCUUGCAAGUUUUCUUAAUUGAAAAAACGAAACAUCCAAGCAUAGUGAAACACGAAGAGGAUAGUCGGUUAAGAGAGGAGACUAUGGUGUCGCGUGGGUCGAUGGAAAGGGAAGAAGGAGUAAAAGCAGACAGGAAGCAGCUGGACAUCGAGUCGCGUGCCUCGCAGGAAACGCAGACCUUCCAAGAACCACGUCCUGACACGUGCUCUGAAGAUAUCUUCGUUAAACGUUUACCAACGGGACUCGUAAUGGCACGCGACAACAUCCUCCAGGUGG